UUUGCUUUGACCUUUCCCCUACUUUCAAGCUGUAGACUCUGAACGUUUGCUUUGGUAGCAUUUACAGGAGUCACAUGUCACAUCUGUUGUAACUCAUGUCUCUGCAUCUGGAAAGCUUAGCUUGGAGUGCCUGAGCUAUCCAACAGAUCUGCCACCCAGGAUAGUUUUCCUAUUUCAGCCUGCAGAGUAAUUCACUCCAUAUUUCCUGUAACUAUGUUAUGAAAAUAGUAGGAUCAUUCUUGAAUAUGCUGCUCAUUGGUUUUGGGACAUAACUUGAAGUCACCAAGCAAAAUGCAAAGUCGAGCCAAGAAAUGAUGUGAAACCCCACAUACACCUCAUGUUGGAGCUGGAGGCACCAUGCAAAAAAUCCACAUUUGAUGGCAUCAGGUUGUGUGGUCAGUGAAUGGAUGAUGUCAUGAACAAUCCCAUCCUGAUGCCCAGCACCUUGCAAGUGUGUGACGUAAUGGAGCUAACAGUGCUGCACUAAGGGGAAGCCAUGUUUCCCGAACAUGUUUCCCCACAACUUUUACUAUGCCCCCUGGUUACAAGGAGAAGGGGAGGAUCCUGGAGAAAAUGUUAACCACUUCAAGGUGGAGGAAAAAGCAAAGGGCAUAGAAAAUCCAACAGUGCAAACUAGGUGUGAGGCGUAUCACUACCAUGUUGAGUCCUGCCCGUGAUCCCCAGGGGAGCUCCACCCAGCUCGUUAUGUUUUAUUAUUUCUUCUGGACUAUUUUGCAAGCUGUUUUGGGCUGUCAAAUAGUAGCCCAUCUUGUGACUCGGAGGCCACAUACCGCUUUUGCUCUGUGCAGUCUUCAUGGAUGUGAAGGCCAGAAGGGGCCAUUCUUAUUAUGGGGGCCGACCAACUGCAUAAAGCCAUAGAUUUCGCUCAGUGGUUCCUACAUCUUGUUCUCACUGAGAUCAGUAGAAAGACAUUGUGUGGCCUGCAGCAGGGAUUCUCAAACUAUAUUCCACAGAGCACUCCCAUGUGGUACGCAGAGUUGUCUCUGUCACAGUUCUUAUUCUUCAAAGUGACUCUUUGUACUAGCUGUAGCCUAGUCCAAAGCUCUGAGAGCCUGCUUCCGAUAAUGUCACUCACAUUCAGAAACCCUUUACUCCACAAGUGAUCUCAUUGAUAAGGGGACAUGUCAUAAAUAUAAAGGGAAGGGUGAACACCUUUAAAAUCCCUCCUGGCCAGAGGAAAAACCCUUUCACCUGUAAAGGGUUAAGAAGCUAGGAUAACCUCGCUGGCACCUGACCAAAAUGACCAAUGAGGAGACAAGAUACUUUCAAAAGCUGAAGGGGGGGAGAAACAAAGGCUCUCUCUGUCUGUGUGAUGCAUUUGCCGGGAACAGAACAGGAAUGGAGUCUUAGAACUUAGGCCUCAUCUUACUACAGGUACCUGGAUGGAGUCCUGAGGCUGGAUCACUUUAAGGGAACUGUGUUGUUUGGACUUCUGAGUAAUCAGUAAGAUAAAAGCUUCUGUGUUACCAGAAUCCCUUCAGAUGUAAAGUUUUAAUGGACAACCCUUGUACCAGGCCUCAGCUGCAGCGACACAGGACACAAUUCUGACCCUACCUAAAGGAGAACUGCAUAAAGUGUACAUCAAAAAUUGGUAGUAAGCAGUGAAGGACAAAUUGGGAUGAAUCAGCGUCUUUGUAUGUAGCCUGAAACGUGCCCGAGCAAGUCCUGAGAUAGCCAAAAAGAGAGAGGAAAUCUGUCAGUGUUGUUUGUUUAAGAUUUAAUACAGCAUAUGGGGUAAAAUAUGCUCAGGUUUUAGCUAGGAUAAACAAAAGUAAUAUCAGUACCAUCCAGAGAAACUGAAAAAGAUGAAGACAGCUGCAUUUGAGCAGGACAGUAAAUAUUCUUUUUUAUUCUUGUUAAACUUUAAGAUGUUUGUAUUGGCAUCCAUGUUCCAUUGUCACUAAAUCAGGAGAUAAGAGAAGGAGUAACUGUGGGGAAAGUAGCAGGAGCAGACAAGUGAUCAUUAUUAUUAGUAUGAUUGUUAUUAUUAUUAUUAUUUUAUUAUUGUAUUCAGUGUGGUUGUAGCCAUGUCAGUCCCAAGAUAUUAAAGAGACAAGGUGAUAACGGAAGAAGAACUCUGUGUAGCUCGAAAACUCGUCUUUCAACAACAGAAGU